GUGCGAACGAGAUAUCGGGUUCCGGCGCGGACCCGAAAAGUAACAACCUAUAAUUUAUUUUCUUUUUGAUCUCUUUAAUAUUUAAAAGAAAUUCACGGAAUAUUACGAUUGCGCCAUCGAAUAAAACCCGCACGGUUUGCACCGCUUUCGUUCUCUCUCCGACAAAGGAAUUCUAGAGCGAGAGGGGAAAAAAAACAAAACAAAAUUCUGGUCUGGAGAGAGAAAGGAGAAAAGAAAAAAAGAAAACUAAACCAACCAAGUUCAGCUCACCUCUACCAGGCUCCAAAACAUGGCCGUAUUUAGGGUUCUUACGCUUCUUUGAGCUCAAGAAUUCUCAACUGAAGAUCUCCAUGGAAAUGCCCGGUCGAAGACCCAAUUACACGCUUCUUAGCCAGUAUCCCGACGAAAAUCUGGCGGCUGCGCCACCACCGCCGUACUACGACUCGUCUAUCUCUAGUGAUUCUAAGAGCAGCAAACUAAAGCCAGAUAGAAGCUUCGAUUGGGAUUCUAGCGGGGAUCACAAAGUAAAUCAGCAAGGGAAUAGUAAUAGGAUUGGUAAUAUGAACUUGUUCUCGUCGAUCGGUUUGCAAAGGCAAUCGAGCGGGAGUAGUUUCGGUGAGAGUUCGUUGUCCGGAGAGUAUUGUGCCCCGACGCUGUCAACGGCUGGGGGGAAUGAGAUUGAGGCAUAUGGAUACAUGCACGAGGAUGGGAAUUUGAUGAGAGGGAGAGCAGUUGAUGCGGCAGUGAUUCCGGGUAUGGGUACUGGAUCAUCUGUGAAAAGCUGGGCGCAGCAGACGGAGGAGAGUUACCAGUUGCAGUUGGCGUUGGCAUUGAGGUUGUCGUCCGAGGCGACUUGUGCCGAUGAUCCGAACUUUUUGGAUCCGAUGCCGGAUGAGUCCGGGUUGCGGUCGACUAGCUCCAACUCGCCUGAGGCCCUGUCUCAUCGUUUUUGGGUGAAUGGUUGCUUAUCCUACUUUGACAAAAUUCCUGAUGGAUUUUACCAAAUUCAUGGAAUGGAUCCAUAUGUGUGGACUGUAUGCAUUGAUUUGCAAGAGAAUGGUCGUAUUCCAUCUAUUGAGUUGCUAAAGUCUGUUGAUCCUAGUGUUGAUUCUUCGUUGGAAGUGGUUUUAGUUGAUCGACGUAGUGAUCCAAGCUUGAAGGAACUCCAAAAUAGGGUCCACAGCAUUUCUUGCAGCUGUAUAACUACGAAAGAGGUAGUUGAUCAGCUGGCAAAGCUUGUCAGCAAUCGCAUGGGGGGUUUAACCAACAUGGCAGAAGAUGAUCUCGUUUCCAAUUGGAGAGAUUGCAGUAAUGAUCUAAAAGAUUGCUUGGGAUCUGUUGUGGUUCCUAUAGGAAGCCUAUCUGUUGGCCUCUGCAGACAUCGAGCAUUAUUAUUCAAGGUGCUUGCUGACACAAUUGAUUUGCCAUGUCGAAUUGCAAGAGGCUGCAAAUACUGUAAAAGAGAUGAUGCUUCCUCUUGUCUUGUGAGGUUUGGGCUGGAGAGGGAGUAUCUAGUUGAUUUGGUAGGGAAGCCAGGUUGUUUAUGCGAGCCUGAUUCAUUGCUCAAUGGUCCUGCUUCCAUCUCAAUCUCUUCACCGUUGUGCUUUCCCCGAAUGAAAUCAGCUGAACCUAUCAUUGAUUUCAGGACUUUGGCCAAACAAUACUUCUCUGAUUGUCAAUCUCUCAAUAUUGUAUUUGAUGAUGCCUCAGCAGCUACUGUUCUUGAUGAAGCUGCUCCUGGAUUCUCUAUGUAUCCUAAGAAAAUUGAGAGGAUGGAUGCAGAGAGAAAUGACCCUGUGCAAAUCACAACGAACAGCAGUGAGAUUUCUCAGUUACCUCUGCCAAUGAAAGUUGCUCGAACAAGUGCCCAAGAUAGAAAUGCUCAAAAUUUUAAAUCAUAUAAUCCUUCACAGAAUAUUGAGCAAGCAACAAAUUUGAUGAAAGAUCCCAUCCACUUAAAGCAUAUACCAACUAGGGGGCACAGAGAUGUGCAACCACUUCUGUCAUUGUCUGAUCAGAAAGUGGAUACUAGUAAAAAUUCAAGGUUUUCUGAAGGUUUUCAACUAGUUUCUAGCAAAACAAGUAAUGAGCUUUCACUUGGUGAUGUGGAGGAUUUGGACAUCCCAUGGGGUGAUCUUAUUUUGAAAGAAAGAAUUGGGGCAGGUUCUUUUGGAACUGUUCACCGUGCUGAUUGGCAUGGCUCGGAUGUUGCUGUGAAAAUUCUCAUGGAACAAGACUUUCAUGCUGAACGGUUCAAGGAAUUUUUGAGGGAGGUUGCAAUAAUGAAGCGCCUACGACAUCCAAACAUAGUUCUUUUCAUGGGUGCGGUUACUAAGCCACCAAACUUGUCCAUAGUAACGGAAUAUUUAUCAAGAGGUAGCUUGUAUAGGCUCUUGCACAAGUCUGGUGCAAGAGAGGUGCUGGAUGAAAGGCGUAGAUUGAAUAUGGCUUAUGAUGUGGCAAAGGGUAUGAAUUAUCUUCACAAACGCAAUCCUCCAAUUGUUCAUAGAGAUUUAAAAUCACCAAAUCUAUUGGUUGACAAAAAAUAUACAGUGAAGGUUUGUGAUUUUGGGCUCUCUCGUCUGAAAGCAAACACAUUUCUUUCAUCAAAGUCAGCAGCAGGGACUCCUGAGUGGAUGGCACCAGAAGUUCUACGUGAUGAACCAUCAAAUGAAAAAUCAGAUGUAUACAGUUUUGGUGUCAUAUUGUGGGAGCUUGCAACACUGCAACAACCCUGGAGCAAUUUAAAUCCUGCACAGGUUUGUUUUCUGAAAUUGCAUGAUUGCAGUAGAAUUAUGGAACAAAAACGGCUGAGGUUUUUUUCUCUGUGGACACUUGUACCGGGAAAAUUUUACAAAUCCAUGUUUAGGAAAUUGUUGAACGAGAAUUGUGCCACUCUGAUAGUAGGCAGGUUGAAAUAAUAAAAAGUUGUCUUCUGUUUGAGGUGACUUCAAUUCACAGGACUCACGCAAAAGCUUAUGCCUUCUUGAGGAGGACUGGUAUAUAUAAUUAUUGUUUUAUGCAAACUGUUACAUAAAUAUCCUGUUAAAAAAUUGGUGACCUCUGUCUUUUGUUCUUUGUUUUGAUUGGGUUUCAUGUUUGUCAUAAAUGGUUCCAAAUUCUAGCAUUUUUUUCAACUACUAUCAAUGGACUGGUUGCUAAAACAGAGUCAGUUUUGCCCUUUGAGACUUAUUUUCAUAGUUGGAAGGUGAAUGUUUAGAAGUUGCAACUACGCCUGUAUGCUUUAUGGUGCUCAUUAAGUUGCUGGAAGACAACAAUGCGUAUACGUGUAUAUAUAUGUAUAUAUAGCAUUCAAUAAGACUUCCAUGGGAUUAUUCUGGCCGUCAUUACAUAUGUUGUGGCAGCUGUUGGAUUUAAGGGCAAGAGACUUGAAAUUCCCCGAGAUUUAAAUCCUCAAGUUGCUACCAUAAUUGAGGCUUGCUGGGCAAAUGAGCCUUGGAAACGGCCUUCCUUUGCAACUAUUAUGGAAUCUUUGAGAGCAUUGAUUAAACCUCCUACGCCUCCAACUGGUCACGCGGAAAUGCCAUUACUUACCUGAAGUCCUGAAUAAUGUUGAACACUAGUGAAGUCUUCUUUUGUGCACAUAUUACAUCACACGCAUUCUUUUGACAAUUGAUAACUGGCAGGGAUAAUCUAUUUAGAUACUCUCAGGUUUGUUUUUCUAAUUUCUUCAACUUUGAUUUACCUAGACUUGUUGCUGACCUGCACAGAAGUAAUGUUAUUUUUAUUGGUAGAGAUGCUCGUCAAAUUGUAGGAAAUGAAUAGCAGUUUAAAUUUAGAGCGUUAGCAGUGUACAAAGCACACCCAUGUAUCCGCUCUUUUAAGUUCUUCAGUGCAUAUUUGCUUUCACA